rnacentral:rRNA from 1 species
CGGCGAAGUGAAGCGGCAACAGCUCCAAAUUUUGAAAUCUGGCUCCUCGGGCCCGAAGUUGUAAUUUGUAGAGGAUACUUUUGAUGCGGUGCCUUCCGAGUUCCCUGGAACGGGACGCCAUAGAGGGUGAGAGCCCCGUCUGGUUGGAUGCCAAAUCUCUGUAAAGUUCCUUCAACGAGUCGAGUAGUUUGGGAAUGCUGCUCUAAAUGGGAGGUAUAUGUCUUCUAAAGCUAAAUACCGGCCAGAGACCGAUAGCGCACAAGUAGAGUGAUCGAAAGAUGAAAAGCACUUUGAAAAGAGAGUUAAAAAGUACGUGAAAUUGUUGAAAGGGAAGCGUUUAUGACCAGACUUGGGCUUGGUUAAUCAUCUGGGGUUCUCCCCAGUGCACUUUUCCAGUCCAGGCCAGCAUCAGUUUUCCCCGGGGGAUAAAGGCGGCGGGAAUGUGGCUCUCUUCGGGGAGUGUUAUAGCCCACCGUGUAAUACCCUGGGGGGGACUGAGGUUCGCGCAUCUGCAAGGAUGCUGGCGUAAUGGUCAUCAACGAC